CAGUAGCCACGGUAAUACGAAGGGUGCAAGCGUUAAUCGGAAUUACUGUGCGUGAAGCGUGCGUAGGCGGUGAGUUAAGUCUGCUGUGAAAUCCCCGGGCUCAACCUGGGAAUGGCAGUGGAUACUGGCUCGCUAGAGUGUGUCAGAGGAUGGUGGAAUUCCCGGUGUAGCGGUGAAAUGCGUAGAGAUCGGGAGGAACAUCAGUGGCGAAGGCGGCCAUCUGGGACAACACUGACGCUGAGGCACGAAAGCGUGGGGAGCAAACAGGAUUAGAUACCCCCGUAGUCCCUGUCUCUUAUAC
rnacentral:rRNA from 1 species